rnacentral:misc_RNA from 1 species
CCUUCUUGGAGCGGUGCUUCAGACCUGGCGGGCUGUCUUUUUGGACGGCGCGCCCAAAGCGAGGGGCCUUCUGCGCGAACUAGACUGUGCGCGCGGGGCGGUCGGCGAACUUAUUACCAAG